rnacentral:rRNA from 1 species
UGGGGAAUAUUGCACAAUGGGGGAAACCCUGAGGCAGCGACGCCGCGUGAACGAAGAAGGUAUUCGUAUCGUAAAGUUCUGUCCUAUGGGAAGAUAAUGACAGUACCAUAGAAGAAAGCUCCGGCUAAAGACGUGCCAGCAGCCGCGGUAAUACGUAUGGAGCGAGCGUUGUCCGGAAUUAUUGGGCGUAAAGGGUACGCAGGCGGUUUAAUAAGUCGAAUGUUAAAGAUCGGGGCUCAACCCCGUAAAGCAUUGGAAACUGAUAAACUUGAGUAGUGGAGAGGAAAGUGGAAUUCCUAGUGUAGUGGUGAAAUACGUAGAUAUUAGGAGGAAUACCAGUAGCGAACGCCACUUUCUGGACACAAACUGACGCUGAGGUACGAAAGCGUGGGGAGCAAACAGG